ACCAGGCCUUUCCGAAGAACAAGCCCAAGGUUGAGAAGGCGCCACGUAUCUAUGGCCUCUGCGACGGUGCCUCCGGUAAUAAUAACUGUAACAGUUACUGUACUAGCACGGGGUACAUGUACGGAUAUUGUGCUUUUCAGUCCUGCCUUUGCCAGUAUUAUAUCACGGGAUGAGCCGUCCAUGUGGCCCGUGCUCCGGUGACACACCGCGCCCACUUCAAGUGAAUAAAUGUUCAUAUAUCACUAGA